rnacentral:lncRNA from 1 species
CCAGCCUUGGAGAUGCAGCUUUUGUCUUGCUGAAACCUUCCAGUUAAAUUUCUCCAUCAAUUUUUCAAAUAGUAUUAUUAGCUGAGGGACUAAAAUCUGCCUGGCGUUCUUCUGAUGACAAAGGAAACACAGCACAUUCACAAACAUCUGAAGCCAACUGCAAGGCACCCGUCACUCAGCGAGAAAAGCAGAAAGGUGCCAAUUCAGAUGGCUGAGCUACUUCGCCUGGGUCCCGACCUGUAUCACCACAGGGUCACAGAAAUGGAACCUUCUCCGUCACACCUCCUGAUGGCAGUCAGCUGUGACCCGCUGAAUCCAGGACAUCAUGCAUUCCAGUUUCAUUUGCGAGAACAUUUCCAGGUCCGGCUGAAGCCUAGUGGCUCCAGCAGAGGUCUCAACCCCUUUGGGAUGCUCAGUGGGAGACAGAAUCAAGGGCCAAUGAUCCAUGACCUAGUCCUAGUGCCCAUGUCAGUUUGUCAAAGGCCCUCAGAGCAGAUUGUGUUUUCCCUGGCGGGGGCUUGACUUCUUUGCUUUAAAAAGGAUUCUUAAGUAUUUAUUGCAGUAAAAUUAACCACCUUCAAAUUUC